rnacentral:tRNA from 1 species
GUUUCUGUAGUUGAAGUACAACAAUGGCUUUUCAAGCCAUAAUUCCUGGUUGAAGUCCUGGUAGAAAUU